AUUGAACGCUGGAGGCAGGCCUAACACCUGCACGUCGAACGAGUGGCUUACGGGUGAUUAAUGCCUGGGAAACUGUCUUUUGGAGGGGGCUACCUACUGGAAACGGUAGCUAAUACCGCGUACCAUCGGAUGCUCCCAGUGGGGAUUAGCGAGUAGGUGGGGUAAAGGCUCACCUAGGAGACGAUCCCUAGCUGGUCUGAGAGGAUGACCAGCCACCCUGGAACGGAGACACGGUCCAGACUCCUACGGGAGGAAGCAGUGGGGAAUAUUGCACAAUGGGCGCAAGCCUGAGGCAGCCAUGCCGCGUGUAUGAAGAAGGCCUUCGGGUUGUAAAGUACUUUCAGCGGGGAGGCGUUACCCGCAGAAGAAGCACCGGCUAACUCCGUGCCAGCAGCCGCGGUAAUAC
rnacentral:rRNA from 1 species